rnacentral:rRNA from 1 species
UCAGGACGAACGCUGGCGGCGUGCCUAAUACAUGCAAGUCGAACGGUCUUUCUAUGGAAGCUUGCUUCCACUGAGAAGAUAGUGGCGAACGGGUGAGUAACACGUGGGUAACCUGCCCAUAAGAGGGGGGAUAACAUCCGGAAACGGGUGCUAAUACCGCAUAGUUUUCUUGAUCGCAUGAUCGGGAAAGGAAAGACGGCCUUUGUGCUGUCGCUUAUGGAUGGACCCGCGGCGUAUUAGUUAGUUGGUGAGGUAACGGCUCACCAAGACGAUGAUACGUAGCCGACCUGAGAGGGUGAUCGGCCACAUUGGGACUGAGACACGGCCCAAACUCCUACGGGAGGCAGCAGUAGGGAAUCUUCCGCAAUGGACGAAAGUCUGACGGAGCAGCGCCGCGUGAGUGAAAGAAGGUUUUCGGAUCGUAAAACUCUGUUGUCAGAGAAGAACAAGUUGGAGAGUAACUGCUCCAGCCUUGACGGUAUCUGACCAGAAAGCCACGGCUAACUACGUGCCAGCCGCCGC